UGUCUGAUUUUCAAGCAUCAUGUGUGAUUUACUGAUACUUGAUGAAUUUGCAUG
rnacentral:pre_miRNA from 1 species